UACGGAGGGAGCUAGCGUUAUUCGGAAUUACUGGGCGUAAAGCGCACGUAGGCGGCUUUGUAAGUUAGAGGUGAAAGCCUGGAGCUCAACUCCAGAAUUGCCUUUAAGACUGCAUCGCUUGAAUCCAGGAGAGGUGAGUGGAAUUCCGAGUGUAGAGGUGAAAUUCGUAGAUAUUGGGAAGAACACCGGUGGCGAAGGCGGCUCACUGGCUCGUAACUGACGCUCAUGCACGACAGCGUGGGGAUCAAACAGG
rnacentral:rRNA from 1 species